rnacentral:rRNA from 1 species
UACGAGUGCCUCAAGCGUUAUCCGGAAUCAUUGGGCGUAAAGGGUGCGUAGGCGGUCGGGUAAGUCUGAUGUGAAAUCUCACAGCUUAACUGUGAAACUGCAUUGGAUACUAUCCGGCUCGAGGAAUGGAGGGGAGACUGGAAUACUUGGUGUAGCAGUGAAAUGCGUAGAUAUCAAGUGGAACACCAGUGGCGAAGGCGAGUCUCUGGACAUUUCCUGACGCUGAGGCACGAAAGCCAGGGGAGCAAACGGG